rnacentral:rRNA from 1 species
GACUAACGCUGGCGGCGUGCCUAACACAUGCAAGUCGAACGCGUUGUUUGAUAGUAGCAAUACCUUUAGACAGCGAGUGGCGAACGGGUGAGUAACACGUAGAUAAUCUACCUUUCAGACGGGGAAAACUCAGGGAAACUUGUGCUAAUACCCGAUGAGACUACGCGAAGGGAUUUGUGUAGCCAAAGGCUGGGGUAACCUAGUGCUGAGAGAUGAGUCUGCGUCCUAUCAGCUAGUUGGUGGGGUAAAUGCCUACCAAGGCGAAGACGGGUAGCCGGCCUGAGAGGGUGAACGGCCACACUGGGACUGAGACACGGCCCAGACUCCUACGGGAGGCAGCAGUGAGGAAUUUUCCGCAAUGGGCGCAAGCCUGACGGAGCGACGCCGCGUGAGGGAUGACAGCUUUCGGGUUGUAAACCUCUUUUAUUAAGGAAAAGGUCAGUAUGCUAAUACCAUAUUGGUUUGAUUGUACUUUAUGAAUAAGCCCCGGCUAACUACGUGCCAGCAGCCG